CAGCGGGCUGCAAUGUCAAGUGAAGAUGCUGGGAUUCUGGGGAGGAGACUUCACACCAGCACCAGCAGAGUGAUGUAAGUUCCCCAUGCAGCAGAGAGAAGGGACAUGCACUGCUGGGGCCAGAUGGAAGGCAGGCUGUGGCAGACUGAAGACAUGGGCAGAGAAAGCCCAGCCACCAGAGGAGGAGAUGACAUAGGGCUUGUCAAGGCCCACCAGCCCGUGAUGGAAAUGGGUGGCCAAU
rnacentral:lncRNA from 1 species